CGUCCUCUGCCGUGUUUGACGGUGUGCGCAAACAUACGCCUUGUCCCUUAAGAACGACAUUGGGACCGCAGCGGAAACCCGGCGUGCAAGUCCGCCUUGUUGCGGAAAGCCCAACGGUUUCCAAGCGUUACCACUUGAACCCUGGGUUCAAGGUCGUUUCGUACGCAUCGACAUGGCGGAGGAUGC
rnacentral:other from 1 species